rnacentral:rRNA from 1 species
AUACGGAGGGUGCAAGCGUUACUCGGAAUCACUGGGCGUAAAGCGCGCGCAGGCGGCUAUUUAAGUUGGAUGUGAAAGCCUACGGCUCAACCGUAGAACUGCAUCCAAAACUAUUUAGCUAGAGUGUGGGAGAGGAAGAUGGAAUUAGUUGUGUAGGGGUAAAAUCCGUAGAGAUAACUAGGAAUACCAAAAGCGAAGGCAACUUACUGGAACAGCACUGACGCUGAGGCGCGAAAGCGUGGGGAGCAAACAGGAUUAGAAACCCCAGUAGUCC